rnacentral:tRNA from 1 species
GUGCUGGUAGCUCAAAGGAGUAGAGUACCGGCCCUAUAUGCUGGAGGUGGUGGGUUCAAACCCAGCCCUGGCCA